UCUGAUGUUAGCGGCGGACGGGUGAGUAACACGUGGAUAACCUACCUAUAAGACUGGGAUAACUUCGGGAAACCGGAGCUAAUACCGGAUGAUAUUUUGAACCGCAUGGUUCAAAAGUGAAAGACGGUCUUGCUGUCACUUAUAGAUGGAUCCGCGCUGCAUUAGCUAGUUGGUAAGGUAACGGCUUACCAAGGCAACGAUGCAUAGCCGACCUGAGAGGGUGAUCGGCCACACUGGAACUGAGACACGGUCCAGACUCCUACGGGAGGCAGCAGUAGGGAAUCUUCCGCAAUGGGCGAAAGCCUGACGGAGCAACGCCGCGUGAGUGAUGAAGGUCUUCGGAUCGUAAAACUCUGUUAUUAGGGAAGAACAUAUGUGUAAGUAACUGUGCACAUCUUGACGGUACCUAAUCAGAAAGCCACGGCUAACUACGUGCCAGCAGCCGCGGUAAUACGUAGGUGGCAAGCGUUAUCCGGAAUUAUUGGGCGUAAAGCGCGCGUAGGCGGUUUUUUAAGUCUGAUGUGAAAGCCCACGGCUCAACCGUGGAGGGUCAUUGGAAACUGGAAAACUUGAGUGCAGAAGAGGAAAGUGGAAUUCCAUGUGUAGCGGUGAAAUGCGCAGAGAUAUGGAGGAACACCAGUGGCGAAGGCGACUUUCUGGUCUGUAACUGACGCUGAUGUGCGAAAGCGUGGGGAUCAAACAGGAUUAGAUACCCUGGUAGUCCACGCCGUAAACGAUGAGUGCUAAGUGUUAGGGGGUUUCCGCCCCUUAGUGCUGCAGCUAACGCAUUAAGCACUCCGCCUGGGGAGUACGACCGCAAGGUUGAAACUCAAAGGAAUUGACGGGGACCCGCACAAGCGGUGGAGCAUGUGGUUUAAUUCGAAGCAACGCGAAGAACCUUACCAAAUCUUGACAUCCUUUGACAACUCUAGAGAUAGAGCCUUCCCCUUCGGGGGACAAAGUGACAGGUGGUGCAUGGUUGUCGUCAGCUCGUGUCGUGAGAUGUUGGGUUAAGUCCCGCAACGAGCGCAACCCUUAAGCUUAGUUGCCAUCAUUAAGUUGGGCACUCUAAGUUGACUGCCGGUGACAAACCGGAGGAAGGUGGGGAUGACGUCAAAUCAUCAUGCCCCUUAUGAUUUGGGCUACACACGUGCUACAAUGGACAAUACAAAGGGCAGCGAAACCGCGAGGUCAAGCAAAUCCCAUAAAGUUGUUCUCAGUUCGGAUUGUAGUCUGCAACUCGACUACAUGAAGCUGGAAUCGCUAGUAAUCGUAGAUCAGCAUGCUACGGUGAAUACGUUCCCGGGUCUUGUACACACCGCCCGUCACACCACGAGAGUUUGUAACACCCGAAGCCGGU
rnacentral:rRNA from 1 species